rnacentral:pre_miRNA from 1 species
CUAAUACUCCCUCCGUCCGGAAUUACUUGUCAUCAAAAUGGAUGAAAAUGGAUGUAUCUACAACUAAAAUACAUCUAGAUACAUCCAUUUCAAUGACAAGUAUUUCCAGACGGAGGGAGUAUAUA